CACUGGUACUCGAGUGGCGAACGGGUGAGUAACACGUGGGUGAUCCGCCUUGCACUCUGGGAUAAGCUUGGGAAACUGGGUCUAAUACCGGAUAGGAACCGUCUUUAGUGUGGUGGUUGGAAAGUUUUUUCGGUGCAAGAUGAGCUCGCGGCCUAUCAGCUUGUUGGUGGGGUAAUGGCCUACCAAGGCGUCGACGGGUAGCCGGCCUGAGAGGGUGUACGGCCACAUUGGGACUGAGAUACGGCCCAG
rnacentral:rRNA from 1 species